rnacentral:misc_RNA from 5 species
CUUAAAAGGAGACCUACCCCUUCAGGUUGACUAUUUGUGUCAAUCAGAAGUUGGUCAUCUUAAGGUCGGUGAGAGUUGGUGCUAGGUUUCCAAACUUGUCUAGUUCAUAACACGCUCAGCAAUCAAGCUAGAUUGUGAGUAGAACAUCUCAAGCAAUAGUCAUAGGUUAACUAUGCUAACUGCUGAGAUUGUUCUCAGCCGAAGAACCAAGAAAACUGCAUAGUAAUGAUGUCAGGUAGAGAUACACAGACACCAAUGUAAAGGACUAAAACUGAUUGAAAUAAUUAGU